UGAGGAAUAUUCCGCAAUGGGCGAAAGCCUGACGGAGCAACGCCGCGUGAGGGAUGAAGGCCUACGGGUUGUAAACCUCUUUUUCCAAGGAGGAAGAUCUGACGUUACUUGGAGAAUAAGCAUCGGCUAACCCUGUGCCAGCAGCCGCGGUAAUACAGGGGAUGCAAGUGUUAUCCGGAUUCAUUGGGCGUAAAGCGUCUACAGGUUGAUAUUUAAGUCUUUUGUUAAAUCUUGGAGCUUAACUCCAAACAUGCAAAGGAAACUAUUUAUCUAGAGUAUGGUAGAGGUAAAGGGAAUUUCUAGUGGAGCGGUGAAAUGCGCAGAGAUUAGAAGGAACACCAAAAGCGAAGGCACUUUACUGGGCCAUUACUGACACUCAUUGACGAAAGCUAGGGGAGCAAACGAG
rnacentral:rRNA from 1 species